GGUGCCGACUACAAGCGAAUUACUGUGAAAGUCAAUGCCCCAUACAACAAAAUCAACCAAAGAAUUUUGGUUGUGGAUCCAGUCACCUCUGAACAUGAACUGACAUGUCAGGCUGAGGGCUACCCCAAGGCCGAAGUCAUCUGGACAAGCAGUGACCAUCAAGUCCUGAGUGGUAAGACCACCACCACCAAUUCCAAGAGAGAGGAGAAGCUUUUCAAUGUGACCAGCACACUGAGAAUCAACACAACAACUAAUGAGAUUUUCUACUGCACUUUUAGGAGAUUAGAUCCUGAGGAAAACCAUACAGCUGAAUUGGUCAUCCCAGGUAAUAUUCUGAAUGUGUCCAUUAAAAUAUGUCUAACACUGUCCCCUAGCACCUAGCAUGAUGUCUGCCUAUCAUAGUCAUUCAGUGAUUGUUGAAUAAAUGAAUGAUGAAUAACA
rnacentral:sRNA from 1 species